AUCCAGCUGAUGAGUCCGAAAUGGGACGAAGUGGCACGCGUCGUGGAU
rnacentral:hammerhead_ribozyme from 1 species